UAAGAAGCAUGUGUGUCUCACCUGAGCC
rnacentral:piRNA from 1 species